UCAGUGGGGUCCGAGUCGGUUCUGUGCCUGCUGCACCAGCACCGGUAAACCUCCUCACAGCUCGGUCCUAGUAGAUGACCCGCCGGUGGGCCGGAUCAGGGAGUCCAGUCCGUUUGAGGCCCUCUCCUGUGUACUGGCGGUGUCAGACGGCGCUGACGCUCCUCCUCGUUAACUCCGUAGAUGUUUGCCUUUGGGCCGGAUCUGGGCCAGAACCGGGCCACGCCCGUUUCAGUGUCUGAUGCCUUCUGGGACGUUCUCUGGUACAUGUUGUAGUCAAUAAUGUAAUGCUUUGUUCAAGUGCUCUCUGUCCUCGCCAGAUGGUGAUUCUUCAGUGGUGACUAUAUUUUAUUACAUAUAGAGAUAUCUAUCUUUCAUAGCCCAAGCCCUCAUGAUGAUGUCACUCGGCACGUCCUGUGUCAGUGCUAUGCAUUUGUGUGAUUUUGUUCUCCAGUCGUUUUAGAUGCUUGAAACACGGAUAAGACCCAAAGUGAGUGAAUAGGAUGUGUACGGAAGGUGUUUCACUGGAAUACCCUCAAAUGGACCCCCCCACCCCCGCCGACCCCCCAACUUCACACUCCUGGUACCCCUCCCCUCCUUCAGUGUUUAAUAUGAACUGAAAACACAGUGUGUCAGCCUCGCCUUCAGUAUUUGACCUUUGACCCAAGGGGCUGUCCAGACAGGAAGGAGUGUGACUGGCGGAGCGCUUGCGUCUCAAACGAAUCCGUACCUGGUCUGCCCCAAGACCACUCUAGCACCAGCUUCUUUUGGGAAAUGACACCGGCACUGCGCACACGCUAUGCAUUAUGGUCUUUUGGGGGGGGUGGGGUGGACGUAGCAGUGUGUCAAAAUAUUGACUGAUUCAAUGAAAAGGGUUGUUGAGAAGUACUGUUGAAGUUCACAGGCUGUGUUUACGUCUGUCAUUCAUAUCAGCAGAAUUAUAAUCCAGUGUUUCUAGUCCUUCUGUGGGUUGACCAGGCUAAACUGGACACUACCUUUUUUUCUUUUGGAGAUGUUUUAAAAUAGUCUUUUUUUUUUCUUCUUCUUUUUUUUCCUCUGCAGUUAAAGCAGUGGCCGUGUCAGAAUAUGUUGCAUGUCUCCAGUCCUGUAAAAUGGAGAGUCAAGGUUUUUGUGUGUGUGUGUGUGUGUGUGUGUGUGUGU
ensembl:lncRNA